UCACUUCUUGGCUUUGUCAGCUCAGCCUUAUGCCCGAAAUCUUUCCCAGGUGCACCGCCUUACAGAUUGAUGGAUCUUUGUUGCGGCCGCCGCCAUCUUGCACGCGGCCGCAUCAUCUUGGACGCGACUGGCGUCAUCCCGGACGCGACCGGAGCCAUAUUGAGCACAAAAUGGCCGCCAGUCUUUACCCUAACUCAUGGUUUUCUUAGGCAAAGAAUCUCUUCUACUCCCGCCUAGAGGUACCUCCUAUCUUGAUUACGUCAGCCCUACCCACCACAACAGCACCAAUCGUGGGCCUUUCUCUACACACCAGCACCCCCUCCCCCUCUCCGCCUGCGUUUUUUGGUGCCCACCAACCAGUAUAAGCCUGUGGACUCCAUUUAGCUGCUGCUGUAUGCCAUUUUGAGCGCAGCCUGGCAGAUUUUCCUUCCUUUAAUAAAGCUUGAAUGGUACCUGGCUUUUCAGCUCACUUUCUUUCAUUUUGGUGCCAAAACCCGGAAAGGGUUUUGGCCAAAGUUGCUGGACAAUACCCUUUCUCUCUCGGGGUGAUUGGCUGUCGCCGCCCUUCUUGGACCUGCCCAACCAGGUGCCUCUGGGACACUCGUUUUUGCUCUGCUGCCUCAGACACAUCCACCACCGGCCUCGUUUGGGGGUCUGCGUUGAAUAUCCUGCGGGUCAGGACAUUUUUGGCGCCCAAACGUGGGGCACUGGAUACGGGGGACACCGUGAGGAAGACGGCGCAUUGGAGGGUUGACCACUGAAAAUAAAAGAGUAAAACCUUCGUCCACCGUGGGAACCUGCCGCGUCAGGAUAAGGUUUAUGAUGUUUGUAUUCUUCCUUGUUCUUGGACUGUUGGCUCCCUGGCCCCAGGUCCAGUCUGGCUUUGGAGACCCUGGACUCGCUCCACAAUUGGUAAGCAAUCAUUUUGGUAACCCUUGUGAUUGCAAAGGGGGCACUAUUCUUAGUCCUCCCUCACCGUAUAUAGCUGUUGUUGAUUGUGGAGCACGUUUGGCUUAUCUGGCUCCAGCAUCCCCUGCUUAUAGUUGUGUGGAUAAACCACAGUUCACACCCACUGACAAUGAAGGCCCUAAGCCUUGUCCCUGUCAAUCUUUUGUUGAAACAUUACAUAGUACCUGUUAUGGUUCAUAUCAGUUGUGUAUCUCAGAUAAUCAGACAUAUUUUACUGCUAUCCUAACCAGAAAUUAUGAAGGAACAUUUGGAGGGGAUCUUGCUGACCCUCCAUCUGCAGUGGGGCUUGUUUCUAAUAAAUAUGCCCAAGCUCCCUGUUUAGGACCCAUAGGGAAGCCUAUAUGCUGGUCUAUUACCCCCUCUUUCUAUAUGUCUGAUGGAGGUGGACCACAAGAUCAAACUAGAACCCUUAAAGUAGAAAAAAAAAUUACAGGAAAUGCAUGAUAUCCUAUUUCCUCAACUUGCUUAUCAUCCAUUGGCUUUGCCAGAAAAUCGAGGUGAAUUGGAUUUAGAUCCUCUGACCUCUCACCUCCUUUAUGCCACUUAUAAAUUGCUUAAUACAACUAACCCUGGCCUUGCUCAAGAUUGUUGGUUGUGCUUGGUCAUGGGACAGUCUAUACCUGUGGCCUUUCCAUAUUCAUCCCUUAAUUAUUCUAUCAAUGGUCGAUGUCCUUUAACUAGUCCCUUACAAGUACAACCUUUACAGUUUUAUAAUGUUACCUGUUUCCUUUCUCCUUCUAUUAAUAAUAGUUUUG